rnacentral:snoRNA from 1 species
UGGUGAUGAUGAUACAACAACCAUUCAUUCGCGGUUUCCACCAGAGGACAUGCCUGUUGUCUAUGUGAUGGUUUUAGCCCUUCCUUGGAAGUCUGAAUCA